rnacentral:lncRNA from 1 species
AACUUUUGAGAUCAAUUCUUCCUUGGGAGGUGAUUUAUCUUUUCUUCUCUGACUAUUGUAAAAAAAAAGAUUAUUUUUGCUCUGACAGUUUCUUUGCUCACAAGGUUCUUUUCAUAUAUGCUAUUCAGGGUUUGUUGAGCUUCCUAAGUCUAGAGGUCAGAAUUUUUCCUGCUUUGAAAAAUGCUUUGCCAUUAUCCUGUCAAAUAUCUCUUCUUUUUCAUUGCUUUACCCCUCUCUUUGUAGGUCAUGCUUUUACAUGCUUUUACAACUCUUUACCCAGGCUUAUAACAUCCCUGUAUAAUCUUUAUCUCAUCAUUUCUCUGGAUAAAGUCUAUAUACUAUUUUGUGUUCUCUAAUCUAAUCUAUAAUUUUCUCUCUGCCUGUGUUGAAUUUGUUAUUUAUUGACUUUCAAAUUUCAAUGUAAACUUUCUAAUUUUUAUCAUUUGAGUAUCUCAUAGGAUUAAAAUCUCAAGUACAUAAAUACAAAUAAAUAUACACAAAUACAAAUAAAA